rnacentral:rRNA from 1 species
UACGAAGGGGGCAAGCGUUGUUCGGAAUCAUUGGGCGUAAAGGGCGCGUAGGCGGACUUAUAAGUCGAUUGUGAAAUCCCUGGGCUUAACCCGGGAAUUGCAGUCGAAACUGUAAGUCUUGAGUUCUCGAGAGGAUGGUGGAAUUCCUGGAGUAGUAGUGAAAUACGUAGAUAUCAGGAGGAACACCGGAGGCGAAGGCGGCCAUCUGGCGAGACACUGACGCUGAGGCGCGAAAGCAUGGGGAGCAAACAGG